GUGCCAGCAGCCGCGGUAAUACGAAGGGGGCUAGCGUUGUUCGGAAUCACUGGGCGUAAAGCGCACGCAGGCGGAUCGUUAAGUCAGGGGUGAAAUCCCGAGGCUCAACCUCGGAACUGCCUUUGAUACUGGCGAUCUUUGAGUCCGGGAGAGGUGAGUGGAACUCCGAGUGUAGAGGUGAAAUUCGUAGAUAUUCGGAAGAACACCAGUGGCGAAGGCGGCUCACUGGCCCGGUACUGACGCUCAUGUGCGAAAGCGUGGGGAGCAAACAGGAUUAGAAACCCGAGUAGUCC
rnacentral:rRNA from 1 species